GGAUAGAGCAACUGCCUUCUAAGCAGUGGGCCAGGGGUUCGAGUCCCUUUGGGCGCACCA
rnacentral:tRNA from 1 species